UUGUUGUAUGAGAGGAGAGAAGGUUCCACUCCCUUGACAAGGAUGGAAUGGCGCUUGUGGCCACCUACUUCGUGCCAUCUCUAACCAGGCUUUAAUCUGGAAUUUCCCCUUGUGGGACUAAUAAAAGGCAUAUCU